rnacentral:rRNA from 1 species
UACGGAGGGUGCAAGCGUUAUCCGGAUUCACUGGGUUUAAAGGGUGCGUAGGUGGGUCUGUAAGUCAGUGGUGAAAUCUCCGGGCUUAACUCGGAAACUGCCGUUGAUACUAUAGAUCUUGAAUAUCGCGUAGGUAAGCGGAAUAUGUCAUGUAGCGGUGAAAUGCUUAGAUAUGACAUAGAACACCAAUUGCGAAGGCAGCUUACUAUGGUUUUAUUGACACUGAGGCACGAAAGCGUGGGGAUCAAACAGG